CAAAGACAGGUGAAACAGAUCAGUGUGUGACACCGGCUAAUUUUCAACCGCAGUCCCUGUACAUUUUACUUGGCAAGUACGAGUGAAGACGGGCUUCAACAAAGUUUGUGCAAACUUCGAAUGAAUUUCAACAAUAUUGCAAGAUGGCCCGGAAUCGAUUACAUCUGACGCUACCACUUCUGCUGGCUGUCAACUGUCAAACCUGUGACUGGUGCUGGCUACGUACAACACCUGGUGGAUUUGUUGUUCAGCAGCGUCAUGGGAACCCCCCUACCAUAUUAGGAGCUGUUACAGAAAACUGGGCUGAUGCAGUGGCCAGACACCAGUCCCGCUUCAGAGUAAUGGAGGACACUUGAAUCAGGAGGUGCCCCCUUCCACGUGCCAAUGGACUACUCCUGGGGCUGAAGCUGGGUCGGAUCUGUAAGUCAGGCUCCUUCAUGAACAGUAUCUAUGAUGAAAGAGGCCUGGAGCUGAUCUACGCUGCCAUGCCCACCAGACGCUUGCAAACACCUCAGAAUGGACAGGAGGUGAUUACUAAUAAGACAGUACAUCACAAGUGUUUAGUAAUAUACAUGUCACUCAUCAACUCUAUCUAUUUCUAAAUCAAAUCUAAUUGUAUUUGUCACAUGCUUUGUAAACAACAGGUGUAGAUUAACAGUGAAAUGCUUACAGGUUCUUUGAAAAAAAUGCAGAGUUAAGAUAAAGAUACAAAAUAAAAAUAGUGACACGAGGAAUAAAUACACAGUGAAUAACGAAUAAUAAUAAUAAUAACGAGUCAAUGUAGCAUGGCUAUUAGCCUCGUCGAGAACAAGGCUUCUCUAAAUGGGAAGCCUGGGGAAGUCCAUGUCACAAAAUCAGCUAAAAAGGGGUGGGAAACAGGUGUAAAUCAGUGAUGCCUCGCAACAUGUCAACCCAAUCAAAUGCCUUGCUCGGGCAGAGCAUCAAAGGUGCUCACUAGAUUAGUGU